GGUUCUGAUGAAGUUCUGGCCGUCGAAUCAUGCAAAAGAGUUCUUAACACAGUCGGGAGCGAUAACAGUCGUUGGAUCGCAUGAUGGAUUGCUUCUGGGCCGUCGGAUCGCGCAAAAGAGUCCUAUUCAAAGUCGACAAUGUGUCUGAACCAUCGGAUCUGGGUCGGAUUGAAUCUCAGUCAUUGGAUUGCACCCAAGAU
rnacentral:lncRNA from 1 species